GGCCUCCUUGGUUUUUCCUUUGCGGGUGAGUAGCUACGUAUUACAGACAGUAAGGGGCGCCAUAAGACAAAAAAAAGGACAUUGUUACCAUAGCAGGAUCCGUAUUCAUUAGUGCACACAGGAGCACAACGUAGGCAAACAAUUUGCACUGGAAAACGAAAACGAGCGUUUCUUAUUGGACAACCUCAAGCAGUCCAUUUUCCUGUGUUUGGUACCUAAAUGAAUAGGCUGUAACUUGGCUCAGCUGCUGCAAAGAUGGCGGACAGAAAUACCAGGAUGGAAGCAAAUGGACUCCUGAAACGACCAGCAAACCAGGCAGUCGUCUUGUGAAACGGUGGAUGUAAAGAAUCUAGCUAGGUAAAGCGUUUACUGCAAAUUGAAUGUACAAUUUUGUAAGCUUGCCUUGUGGAUAACGUAACUAGCUAACUAUUUUCUUGUUUAUUGAGCAGUGGAGUAUAAAAAUCACUGUAUACCUAUGGAUGUGUAGCUAGCGGUCUAGCUGAUCUGUGUAUGGACCCAAACGUUUGGUAUACAUAUUAGUUCAGAACCUAGAUAUGAACUUAAGCUAUCAUAGCCGGUUGUAUCAACUUCAAAACAGUCUGAAUGACAUUAAUGAAGCCUAUGGAUUGAGUAGAAUAUAAUCUAACUUUGUGCCAAGGAUGCAAGUCGUAUAUACAUGUAGCAUGAGAUCCCCACAUUGUAGCCUGUACAUUUAAUAUUCCCACUGAUCAUGUACUCUACCGUGGCAAAUAAAGGUGCAGUUCAGGUAUGAAUGUCUGUGAGAUUCUUUUUCAGUCAUAUCCAAUACCAGGAGUAUCAAACGGCAUUCUUUGAAUGGUGCUGUGUCUGCAUGUAUGCAUUACAAUUAUACACUUCAAGUGUUUACCAAUCUUGGUCCUGGGAUAUCAAUGCUUGGUUACACAUUAACUAUGCAAUAGACUAGAAACAUGAUUUAACUAGUUAAAAGGGCUGAUUUGUAAUUCAUAUAUACAGAAAGAUAAUUUUUUAAAACACAGUACAUUACACUUCCUACGCAUCAUGUAAAUAGGUUCAUCUAUCUAAUUUCCUUCAUCUGCACUGAUCUGAGGACAGGAUAGGUGUGGUAUUUCAUCAAAUGAGAGACUUCAACCAGUAGAGAAUGUGAAAUGUUUUACAUAAGUGUCUCUAGAGGAGUCUCCUAACCAGCCUUGGGCCCCAAAUUGGCCUGAAGGUUAUCGUAACAGCGGGUGAGGUGGCGAUGAUGGGUCUGGCGGUUGGCAUACUCUCUCACAUCAAAACAUACCUACAGAGGAGACAGAAUAAAAAAACAAACAAGGCUUAAUCAUGCCAUCACUGUCAGUCAUAAUAAUCAGGAGGUAAAAUUCUAAACUCUUGGACUACGACAUCUCUAUCUGUACUUCAAUGUAAAGCAUCUCUUUAAUAAUACUUCCUGUUGACCCAACCAAGUGACCUCUCACCUCUGAUCAUGCUGUGCCCUCUAUGGAGCCAGUUCAGACACAGGAGGAGUUCACUGACACAGCUGAUAUAACCUACAGCAGAUAUUCCAAACGGGUACGCCAAAUAAAAAUGCGAUUAACGUUUAAAUAACAUUUGAAAAAAUAAAAAACUAUUUUCAAUGAACAAAAUGUUUUAUAUGUAAGAUGGCUAAAUAAAUAGCAAAUGUAUUGAAUAUUAUUAUGUGCCCUUGAUCCUAUAAGAGCUCUUUGUUAAUUCCCACGAGCCAGGUUGUGACAAACUCAGACUCACUCUUAUGUUUAAUAAAUGUAUAGUGUGUGUGAGUGGCAGGCUUACAAUGAUGGUAAAAAAACAUUUGAGAAUGCGCUGACCCUGGUGCUAGAGGGGGUACGCAGCUAGGUUGAAUGUUUGAAGGGGUAUGGGACUUUAAAAAGUUUGGCAACCACUGACCUACAUGAUUACGGGAGAGAGGGAUGGAGUGAAGGAGACUGUUGAGAAAAUAAGUCAGUUAAAGAGACGGUGUUCAACAGGAACCUGUGUGUGUGUGUGGCCUCACUAAGUGGCUGCAGAGUACUUUAUACAGACACUUGAGUACAAACAAUUUAGCGUAGUUAUAUAAAUAAUGAAGUGUGUUACUAUUCUCCAUGGUUUGUCCUCUUGUCUAUUCUUUGAAGGUGGAAGGAGCCACAGUUAUACACCGGAGCCUGCUUACUACACAACACAUAAAUCAGAUUGAUAGACAAG